UAUAAUUUUGUAUAUUUUGAAAGUUUGAUCUGUAGCUUUUGAGGUAUGAUUAUCCCUGUGCGCUGUUUUACUUGUGGAAAAGUAAUUGGAAACAAGUGGGAUACUUAUAUUAACUUAGUUAAAAAUGACCAAGAGGCUGAUGCUCUUGAUUCUUUGCGUCUAAAACGUUACUGUUGCCGCCGAAUGGUUCUCACUCACGUGGACCUCAUCAUCAAACUUAUUAAAUAUAACGAGCGAAGUUGAUUGUCGUUGCUGUUCCCUGUUAUUAGCAGGAACAAAUUUGAUUUUUAAUUUUUAGUAUAAGUUACAGG